rnacentral:rRNA from 1 species
GGGAACAUACCCUUUUCUACGGAAUAGCUCUGGGAAACUGGAAUUAAUACCGUAUACGCCCUACGGGGGAAAGAUUUAUCGGGGAAGGAUUGGCCCGCGUUGGAUUAGCUAGUUGGUGGGGUAAAGGCCUACCAAGGCGACGAUCCAUAGCUGGUCUGAGAGGAUGAUCAGCCACAUUGGGACUGAGACACGGCCCAAACUCCUACGGGAGGCAGCAGUGGGGAAUAUUGGACAAUGGGCGCAAGCCUGAUCCAGCCAUGCCGCGUGAGUGAUGAAGGCCUUAGGGUUGUAAAGCUCUUUUGUCCGGGACGAUAAUGACGGUACCGGAAGAAUAAGCCCCGGCUAACUUCGUGCCAGCAGCCGCGGUAAUACGAAGGGGGCUAGCGUUGCUCGGAAUCACUGGGCGUAAAGGGCGCGUAGGCGGCCAUUCAAGUCGGGGGUGAAAGCCUGUGGCUCAACCACAGAAUUGCCUUCGAUACUGUUUGGCUUGAGUAUGGCAGAGGUCAGUGGAACUGCGAGU